rnacentral:snoRNA from 1 species
GAAUGAUGAGAACUCAUAGCUGGCACCAGUCAGACGGGGAUGAAAUAUUCCUCCAUGCUGAGUAGCUUGCGGUCCGGGAAACGCUAUCUGGAUCCUGAA